CCAGAGCGGAACGGCUCGCGGGGUAGCUAGUAAACGAAGGAG
rnacentral:sRNA from 1 species